rnacentral:misc_RNA from 1 species
GUGAAUCAUCGAAUCUUUGAACGCACCUUGCGCCCUCUGGCAUUCCAGAGGGCAUGCCUGUUUGAGUGUCACGAAUAAAUCAGCAUCAUGCAUUAUUGUGUGAGGGCUGGACUUGGAUGCUGCCGUUGUCGGCUCGUCCUUAAAUGCAUUAGCCUGGCGUGGCCGUGGCCUCUUUUGGUGUGAUAAUUAUCUACGCCGCUGGAGGUUUGCGCGUGUUGCUGGCUUACAGUCGUCCGCGAGGACAGCUUUUCUUUUGCUUUGACCUCAAAUCAGGUAGGACUACCCGCUGAACUUAAGCAUAUCAAUAAGCGGAGGA